GCCCAUAAUUUCCAUAAUCAAUUUAAUCCAGCAGAAAAAGCCACACUUAACCAAUAUAAACAGAAACAGCCAACCUUCCUUCUAGAUUGACAAAGACAUGUAACUAUUGCUUAUAUAAUAUAGGGAAACCAUUGUUGUUUAUCUUGUAUAUAUUUCUAUGAUCUGAUAUUUAUAUAGUUCUAAAUCAUCCACUACUCCAAAUUAACCCAGAUCAUAUAUGGGUGUCUCCAAUUCCAGUAGCUCUUUGCUAGCUUUGGUGCUUCUUCUAGUUGCUUGUGCUUCUGAGAAGUCUUUAGCUGUUGAUGCUAGGCCACUUUCCCUCUUUUCACAGCAAGGAUAUUCAAAGGUUUUUGGAACCCUUGGGAUAGCUUGCGAGUGUUGUGAUGCAGCUGGAGGUGAAUGCAAAAGUAGUUGGACUGGUUCUUGCAGUAGCCUCAAAUGUCUUCCUUGGAAGCAACAUAAUUUGAAGCUAAAUUAAGCAGAAGUCUUUUUCUUUGGCUUCUUUUGCUUUCUCUUCUUCUCUCAGCUUUGUAAAUACCUAUAUGCAGAUAUAUGUUAUAUUUUUGCCUUCUUAAUGUUUUUCCCUUACCUGGGUUUUACUUAUCCCCUGUGAUAUUGGCUAUUAUUAAUGAAGGUUCAGUAACUAUAUAAGUGGAAAUUCUGAUGCUGAUGGAACUGGAAUUUUGCUCAGGUUGAGUUUAUUU